rnacentral:rRNA from 1 species
UACGAAGGGGGCUAGCGUUGCUCGGAAUCACUGGGCGUAAAGCGCACGUAGGCGGCUUUUUAAGUCAGGGGUGAAAUCCUGGAGCUCAACUCCAGAACUGCCUUUGAUACUGAGAGUCGCUGGAGUCCGGGAGAGGUGAGUGGAACUGCGAGUGUAGAGGUGAAAUUCGUAGAUAUUCGCAAGAACACCAGUGGCGAAGGCGGCUCACUGGCCCGGUACUGACGCUGAGGUGCGAAAGCGUGGGGAGCGAACAGG